UAGGAUUCUGAAUUCUUCAGAAUGACUAAGGGUGUUUUCAUGCUUUAGGCAGUGACUCAACGUUUCCAUUUUCAGUAAAUGUCAUUGCUAAUGAACCCUGUUCUGCCUUUCCCAAGGCCAGAUAACACUUUCAUAUUAUGUCCAAUUCUACACACAAAGUGAAGACAAACACAGCUGCCUUCAUGUCAUGUCCUGUCAUGUCUAGGAGACCCUGCUUUGCUCUGGUCUUCCCAACUGUUUUUGGAAUGGGGUGAGAGAAAGCCAUUGUGAAGCUUCAGCCAAUCAAUACACCUCCUUGGCCUGGUCAUUCAGAUAUAUGAAUGAAUGCUCUCUUGUUCAAGAACGCUACACCCCCUGGCUCCAUCGGAGGGCAUGGGGAGGCCAGCGCCUCUCCACAUAUUCUGUUCUCUGAGGAACUCUCGGGUCUCAUCUGCCAUUGUGUCAGCCCCUUUCAGGGUGUGACCGUUGGAAGAAAGCUGCUAGCAUAAUUUCCUAUUUGGCUCUUUCUGAUAUGGAGUCCUUAGGGAACCUGUUUACAUCCUCAACUUCCUUCCCGAGCCACCCCCACCCACCACAGGCCGGAAGGACAUGAGUAUCAGGUGGGAGAGGACAGGGCUGGACACAGGAAAAAGUGUAUUGGGUAACUAGGAAAGCUUUGCAGCUUAUCCCAGAAGGGACUGAGAAAAGCACAUUCAUCAGUGUUUCUCCAAGAGUGAGUCUUGCAUUUGACAAGAGGUAUCUGAGGUGCAUGAAGAAGUGCCACAGCCUGUUCAGGAUUCCUACAAGAGCUUUUUGAGAGGAUUAUUCCUGCCACACAAAGUGCUGGUGCAAUGGUGAGCUCCUGUGAACAGUUCACCUAAGAACUAGUAUCCUUGGCACAUCUUGGACAAAGACAAAAACUGCCACUGGAACAACAGACCCUGGAAGAGCAGUCCCUCCAGGUAAUACGGGAACUAAUGGCUCCACUGGGUCUCCACUUGCCGAGUUGGAGGAAGCUCAAGCAGGACAGUAUUCAAGGCAAUUUGUUACAUGGACUCAAAGAGAAAGAAUUUUUUUUUAGUUUUCUAAACCAAAUCUUGUUAUUUGUUUCUGUAUACUCACCAAAAUUGAAAGACAACUCCCCCUUUUUUUUAUUUUACCACAUGGAAAGUAUAAUUUUAUCUCAGAAUUAAAGUUAUUCACAAUUUGCAGAUGGACCUGUGAUCUUGCCUGUGUCAUUGCUGACGAAAUGUGCAUGGCCCAGCAACUCCUCCCAAGCUUCAUAAUCAGAGACCUCACUGCUGUAUGACCAUGCUUAGUUACCUGCUGUGAGUGGUAGGCAGCCUCACUGCUUCCAGAUUCCUUUGAGCAUUCCUUUCCCUCAAGUAAGCUUAAAUGCAAGAAGAAAACUCUCUCUCUCUCUGUCUCUCUCUCUCCCCUCUCUCUCUCCCCCCACUGUGUGUGUAUGUGUGUGUGUCUGUGUGCAUGUGUGUAUGUGUGUGUGUGUGUGUGUGUGUGUGUGUAUGAUAGAGAGGUAUGUAUAUAUCAUUUACUUCCCUCUUAAAUUGAUUCUUGAGAUUUAUUUUUUAUUUAUUAAUCUUUCUUUCAGACAGGGUUUCUCUGUGUAACAGCUCUGGCUGUUCUGGAGCUCACUUGAAAGACCCCCGAAGAGGUACUUUCGUAGAGGGAGACCCGCACCCAGGAAUCAGCGAGACCACGAACUUGGAUGCAAACUGCAAGAGGCUUUAUUGGAGAUACGGGAAAUUCUUCUUGUUGACGCACUCAUCUGUUACAUGUAUCACAUUCAAAAAGGGACUAAGAACUUACAAGCCACCCCUUGCAGUUUCUAGCUAAUCCUUCCUGCAAGCCAUGGAGUUCUGACAUGCUAACAUAGUACCUGCACUGUGGAUAUGCCAGCUCACUGAUGCGUUGAGGACAUAAGCAUAAUGAAAGAAUGGUACCAUUAGGUCCCAGAGGCCAAUGACACUUAACCUCUCUGUGGGAUGCUGUUCAGGAUUGAACCCUUCCAGUGUGACCUGGCGCGGGGCUGAGGGCCCUCCGGCUGAGCAGUGAUGUCGCACAAACAGAUUUACUAUUCGGACAAAUACAACGACGAGGAGUUUGAGUACCGGCAUGUCAUGUUGCCCAAGGACAUAGCCAAGCUGGUCUGAAUCUGAAUGGAGAAAUCUCGGCGUUCAGCAGAGUGGGUCCAUUAUUUGAUCCAUGAACCAGAACGCAUAUCUUACUCUUCCGGCGGCCACUACCCAAGAAGCCAAAGAAAUGAAGCUGUUGACCCGCCUUUCAGCCUCAAGCUUUACACAACUGUCCUUCCUUCCUGCACCUUCUGAUAGCAUGAUUAUGUUGCUUUCUUAUUUCUCACUUUGAUAUUUAAAGGAUGUUUGUUCAAAACACUGUUUGAAUGUGUUGGUACCUGCUUUGCUUCUUGAGCUGAGCCACCAAUGCCACAACCUGUCAGAUGAGUGUGACCUCAAAGACCUAGUGUGCUCUUUAUCCAGCAGGCAUAUCCAUACUUGCCAUACAUUAAAGAAAAAUAGGCUUAAAAGAAUACUAAACUAGCCGAGCAGUGGUGGCAGCACACGCCUUUAAUCCCAGCACUUGGCUGGCAUGUGAAAAUCAGAUCAUGGCUGUUACAGGGAUAGUGUGAAUUUGCUGUUGUGGUUUUUACUAUUGGGUAUUGUAUUUAUGGUGACUUAUGGAUUUAUGUUUCAAUAUAUUGGAAAACUUUCCAUCUUAUCUGACAAAUCUCUCCCAUGUUACAAGCCUUGAUUAAAGGAAGUUUUUAUAAUCUAAAAAAAAAAAAGAAAAAAAAAAGAAUGAGACCUAUCUCCAGUGAAAACUGCU
ensembl:lncRNA